ACAAAUUGUAGCAGCGUUGUUUGGUGUCUAAAUGCGUAUCUGCUACGCAAAAUCGUAAAGGUUGGCAGGUCUGGUCCUGGGUAGGAAGUAGUAGAAAGAAAAGCGCAUGCAUCUGUCAUCGCUUCUCUUUUUGCGCUUGCUGAGUGACCUAGCUAACUAGUUGGUUUAAAACCAACUUCCAAUUGCAAUGGAACGAGCCAAAUGGUAGCUGAAAGUUUUGCAAAUUCAGCCAUCGCUUCCGGACAAUUACCGUACUUGCACAGGAACAACACUGACUAAUACUGAAUGCGGAGAAUGUCCUGACAGAACAUUUUCAGAAAAUUAUUUUUCUGCAUUCUGCAAACCACACACAGAUUGCCAAUCCUUGGUACUUCAGGAAAUUACAGCUGGAACAAACACAUCAGACAGUGAAUGUGGACCAAGAAAUUAUCCUCAUCCCAGAGUUGCUGGGCUUGUGCCUGCGGUGCUUGUAGUACUUCUAUUAACUGUCAUUUUAGGCAAGAUAAUGAAGAGUGAACAUAAUCGCCAGAGAGAACAGCAGAAUGAAGAGAGGAGAAUGAAGAACAUGGAAACAGAAAAUGAAAACGUGUCAAACCAGCGGCAGGAGAACGGUGUAGGAUCCACAUUUCCCACAAAGGACAAUUCCGCGUCGUCCACCCCGCAUGACGUCUAGUUCGUUUCAGCCAAUCCCGGAAUGGCGGGAGCAGUAAACUGUCCCGUAUAGGACCAAAACAUGUUCUCGGGAUCCCCCAUCUUUCUUCCUCUUCUCCUUCGAUUCAUUCCCUUCUUCAACGCACCCUUUUUGGCCAUUUGCUUCAGCUCAUCUGCUCUGAGACUCGGACAAAGGCUGAAUGCUGCACAGCACACUACCAGGCCUACGGACACACCCAGUUACCUUGCGGUAACUUUGUGGCCUAUAGCGAGUGGAAACUGGUGUACGUGGAACGCAACAUCAGUUUACCCCUGCAAAGCUCACCAACGAACAACAGCAACAAACUUUUCCACCCGGAAAAGGGACCAACGAACAUCCUUCCAGCAACCGAGCGGACCAGACGACAACGCACGGCUUUGCGCGCCUCUCCAGGACAUCAUUCACAGCACCAUCACGGCUCCUGUAAGGACAGCACGUC